CACGUAGGGUGCAAGCGUUGUCCGGAUUUAUUGGGCGUAAAGAGCUCGUAGGCGGCUUGUCGCGUCGACUGUGAAAUCCCGCGGCUCAACUGCGGGUCUGCAGUCGAUACGGGCAGGCUAGAGUUCGGAAGAGGCGAGUGGAAUUCCCGGUGUAGCGGUGAAAUGCGCAGAUAUCGGGAGGAACACCUAUGGCGAAGGCAGCUCGCUGGGACGUUACUGACGCUGAGACGCGAAAGCCAGGGUAGCAAACGGG
rnacentral:rRNA from 1 species